UAGGCCUGACCGAGAUCGUGAAGUCCUGA
rnacentral:piRNA from 1 species